UGUAGGCCACAUGAGGUAUACACGUACACACGAAAAUCGUUAAAUUAGUACAUUCGUCGAUUUGUCGAAAUGCCCUCAAUUUUCCUCAACAUGGCAUCUCAAUUUUCCUCCGACCGUUACAAGUGAAAACACGCGCUGUCAUAAUUGAACUGCGUUCUGGAAGUUUAUAUAGGCUACACAACAUUUGCUGUAUAGUUGAAAUAAAUGAAAUGUAUAACUUCAUGAAAAAUACUCUCUUUCUCCAGGGGUAUACUGAUUUUGUAGGGUUGAAUAAGCGAUUGUGUAUUCCAUUGGUUUUGCUUUUAUGCGCAUUCAUAGUAGACAAAUCAUACAAAUUGGGAAUACAAAUCUGACAGGCAUCUUUGCUGCAUCUGAACAAAAUCGGAGUCUUAGUGGUUAAGUUUGCCAACACAGCCCGAAGCAUCCUUUAAAUAUCCAAAUCAACAAAUAAUGUUUUUUAAUUCCUUGUAAAAAAAAACCAAAACACUAGCUCGUAUUUUAUAGGGAAAAAAAGCGGUUCGGAAUAACUUUUAAACAAUGGCGUACUACAAAACUAUAGCUCAGUUUUGCGGAAGUGACGUUAACGUGACUGGGUUAAAGUUGAUCCUAACCCUACGUACUUCCUUUCCUGUUAGCGGCGGUAGCUGAAUAGCAGCAAAAUGGGCAAGUUCAUGAAGCCUGGGAAGGUGGUGAUGGUGCUAGCUGGACGCUACGCCGGGCGCAAAGCAGUUAUCGUCAAG